GUUAUUUUACGACAUAGUGACGUCAUCAGACGGGCAGGGUUGAUGCUGCUGAGAGCGAGGCUGCACGAGUGGGAUUCUGCCCAGAAACAGAGGAGAACAUGGGAAGUGGUCAGAGCCAGCACCGCCCAGAUAAAACAUCUCUGCCUGGAGUUGUUCCAACAGAAGAGGCUGCUGUAGUGGUGCACACCACUAAUCCCUCCACACAAAAUGAAGGUGGAGGCCAGUUGGAUGAUCUCCCCCAGCGCAAAAUGGGAAAAAAGGAAGUGGAUGAUAUGUGCUUCAUGAUUGUCUGUACAAACUGGUAUUAAAGUCAUGAAGAUACUUGCAUUAAGUACUUCGGAGUACUUAAUAUUGCUAAUUUAUUAUUAGUCUUGUAUCUGGCUGUCAGAAGAUCACAUUAGACAGCAGGAUGGCCUCAUUACAGAGUGCAGAUUUAAUGUAUCUGCUCCAAGAGUUAUAUAUUGAUGUCUGUCUGUAAUUUUACUGUUAAAGUGGAGAGGGCUAGAAGAGAGAUUUUAGAGUAGGAGCGAACAGGAGCUAUCAAAUGUUCUUUUACUUAUGCAUUAGUUCUGACUUUUGAACUCAUUGUGUAUAAUUAUGGCAACCCACUGAGAUCUAUGAGUUGGAGGAAACCUGAAGAUCUUAAUUUGGUGUAAUAAUUGGGAGAUGUAGGUAGGUGGACUGGCCUCUGUGACAAUUUGUCUUCAUGUAGACACUUGAGCCUGGUGGGUAUGAAGCAUUUUGAGGUGGCAGGAGUUGGGCAGGCAGAGUUUAAUAUAUGACCACAUAAGCAGUAUUGUUCAUUCCUUGCAGCACUAUAAAAUAAAUGAAUUGCUACUCAGUGCAUUUUGAUGUGUUCUGACUGAUGAUUCUAAUUUCUAGUGACUAAGAUGUCCAGGAUUGCAGGCGUGUACUGCUGAUCAGCAGUUUCUCUCAGUCAGGGUCUGUGCCUGUCUAAACAAAUCAAUUUUGUUUUUCAGUACAUAAAAAAAAAAAUGAAAAUUAAAAAUAGUACUCUUCAAUGUAAAAUGAAAGUAUUACAGAAUUAUGUUGUACUAGGUUGUUCCCUAAACUGUGAACAGCAAAGGAAUAUGCUUUUGCUUAUAGAAAAACAAGUUGGGAGCAGAAAAGAAAUUAAUAAGCAGGGUCACCAGAGUAUUUAAUAAUUUUUUUAACAUCACAAACCCCAGUUAUAUAGAACAUUUGCAUUUCAUGACACUAUUAACUGUGUUGCUUUAAGUUUUGUGCCUCUUUGGCUCUCACUUUUUCAAGAAUACAUUGCCAUAGUGUUAUGCAGCAAUGGAUUUCAUUUUGUUUUCUUGAUACUAAUCAAUAGAAAAAGACUCUUAAUGCCAAAGUGAAAAUCUGUGUCUGCAUCUAAAUUAAUUAUAAAUAUAAAACACAAAAUUAGCUGAUUGCGUAAGUAUUCACUCCCUUUAAUAUGACACCGCUAAAUCAUCACUGGAGCAGUCAGUUGGUUUUAAUAAUCUCAGAAUUAGUCUGGGUGGCAGUAGAUUGCAGUCUAAAUGCUCUUUAUCUGGAAGGUCCAGUCAGUGUGGUGGCCUAACCUACACAAUGAAGACAAAAGAGUCAAAGCAACUCCAUAAAAAGGUAAUCGAAAAGCAUAAGUCAGGGGACAGAGAAGACAAGAAAAUAUCCACAUCAGUUAUUAUCCCUUGUAGCCCAGUUAAAUCAAUCAUUAAGAAAUGGAAAGAAUAUGACACAGCUGAAAAUCUGCCUACAGCAGACUGUCUACAAAAACUAAUUUUAAAGAAGAAGAAGAAGACUAGUGUGGGAAGCUACCACGAGACUUAUGAGAGCCCUGAGUGAGUAACGCUCUGCCGUGGCUUAGACUGGAGAGACUGUGCAGAUGACAAUUGUUGAUGGUUGCUUCACUAGUCUCAGCUUUAUGGGAGAAAGGCAAAGAAAUUUUUUUUUUUUUUUUUUUUUAAAAGGCUAAUGGAAGACUCUGAAGUCAGCUGGAAGAAGGUUUUGGGCAUCAGACUAAACUCCUUGUUUUAUUACUGUGCAUUAUCAUAAACACAUCAUUCUUACCAUGAGGCAUGGUGGUUGUAGCAUCAUUCUGUGGAGGUGCUUCUCUGCUGCAGGGCAUGAAAGGCUUGUGAGGAUAGAGGGUCAAAUGAAUGCAGCAAAAAUAAGUCGACAUUUUGGAGGAGAACCUGAUGCAGUUUGCAAGAAACCUAUGCCAUGGAAAAAGAUUUCUUUUCUAGCAAGACAAUGACCACAAGCAGUAACAAUGUGAAUGUCCUGGAGUGGCUGAGUUAGAGUUGAGAUCUCAAUCCAACUGAGAAUCUGUGGCCAGAUGUAAAUAAAGCUGUUCAUUUACAAACUCCAUGCAACCUGACAUAGUCAAUGCUGUAUAACAAUAAAAUAUGAAACCUUUCAA